UCGUAUUUUGCCUAUUUUGGAUUCAUUUGGAUUUUGUUGGCUGUUUUUUGUGUAUUUUUUAAAAGUUUUGUUUGUCAUUUGUGAAUUUUAUAAAUUUACCACAAUGCAAAGUGAUUAUUUAAGGAAAUUAUUAUUGGAAACUCCCCAGAUGUUUUAGAAAGAUAUUCAUUGAAGCUGAAAAUAAUUGAUAAUAGAAAGAGAUUUAGAUCCAUGUACAAUUCAGUCAUCAGAAUUGGAUUUUACAGUAAAGGAGUAAAGUUCAUUCCAACAAUUACUGUUAUAAUGCUAUUAUAGAUAUUUAUACAUAUCUGGUAGAGUCUCACAGUUACUACUUUAAGCAACAGAUGAAAGCAUACAAAAGCCUUCAGGCACAUAAAAGCCUUCACAACUGGAUUUGUUUUGAAAGUUGGAGUAAAAAUUGUUAAUGAUUUCUAUAUUAAUGUUGGAAAGGUGAAGCAUUCCCAAAAAGCUAAUGCUAAACCACUAGAUACUUGGGUGAUAGCCAGUUCCAAUGUCAUAGCAAAUGCACAUUGUAUGUGUAUGGCCGGUAAUAGUGAAGUUUGCAGCCAUAUUGCAGCAAUCUUAUUUGCAGGUGAGUAUGCCCACAGCAAGACAGAAGAAGAAGAACCCAAUGCAUGUACAGAUGUUACAGCUAUGUACAUUCUCUGAUGAAAAACUAAUGAGUUUUCAAACUGUUCGGUCAGAGUGCUUGUUGCGCUCUAUAAACGAACUGUUGAACUUUUGGCUUCAUGUUGCAGCGAUAUGAAAAUGGUUAGGCUACGGCUCCACGGGCGAGAAA